rnacentral:lncRNA from 1 species
AUGGCAAAGUUUGAGAUGAAAAAAUUUAUUUCAAUUUUUCUUAUGUUGUUAUUAGUUGUGGCACAAGCUAACGAUAAUUCUCAACGUUCAUCAAACCCUAAAAGUUCAAUUGGUUGUGUUGCUGCAUGUGAAUUAUUGAAAUGUCAUAAGAUAAUGUCCAAAGUUGUUCAUAAUUGUGCAACUAAUUGUUCUAUUUCAAAAUCCAUGAAAGGCAAAAUUGAUGUUGGUGGUGUUAAUGAUAUCGUGAGUUCAUGUUUAAAAGCUUGUAUAAAAAAAUAA